CAGCAGCCACGGGAAUACGAAGGGUGCAAGCGUUAAUCGGAAUUACUGAGCGUAAAGCGUGCGCAGGCGGUUUGUUAAGACAGAUGUGAAAUCCCCGGGCUCAACCUGGGAACUGCAUUUGUGACUGGCAAGCUAGAGUGUGGCAGAGGGGGGUGGAAUUCCGCGUGUAGCAGUGAAAUGCGUAGAUAUGCGGAGGAACACCGAUGGCGAAGGCAGCCCCCUGGGCCAACACUGACGCUCAUGCACGAAAGCGUGGGGAGCAAACAGGAUUAGAUACCCCAGUAGUCCCUGUCUCUUAUAC
rnacentral:rRNA from 1 species